rnacentral:rRNA from 1 species
GACGAACGCUGGCGGCGUGCUUAACACAUGCAAGUCGAACGCUGAAGCCUGGCUUUUGUUGGGUGGAUGAGUGGCGAACGGGUGAGUAACACGCGAGUAACCUGCCCCCUUCUUUGGGAUAACGCCCGGAAACGGGUGCUAAUACUGGAUAUUCACUGGCCUUCGCAUGGGGGUUGGUGGAAAGGUUUGUUCUGGUGGGGGAUGGGCUCGCGGCCUAUCAGCUUGUUGGUGGGGUGAUGGCCUACCAAGGCUUUGACGGGUAGCCGGCCUGAGAGGGUGACCGGUCACAUUGGGACUGAGAUACGGCCCAGACUCCUACGGGAGGCAGCAGUGGGGAAUAUUGCACAAUGGGCGAAAGCCUGAUGCAGCGACGCCGCGUGAGGGAUGGAGGCCUUCGGGUUGUAAACCUCUUUCGCUCAUGGUCAAGCCGCAACUGUGGGUUGUGGUGAGGGUAGUGGGUAAAGAAGCGCCGGCUAACUACGUGCCAGCAGCCGCGGUAAUACGUAGGGCGCGAGCGUUGUCCGGAAUUAUUGGGCGUAAAGGGCUUGUAGGCGGUUGGUCGCGUCUGCCGUGAAAUCCUCUGGCUUAACUGGGGGCGUGCGGUGGGUACGGGCUGACUUGAGUGCGGUAGGGGAGACUGGAACUCCUGGUGUAGCGGUGGAAUGCGCAGAUAUCAGGAAGAACACCGGUGGCGAAGGCGGGUCUCUGGGCCGUUACUGACGCUGAGGAGCGAAAGCGUGGGGAGCGAACAGG